AUGCCCAUAUAAGAUGGCAAAGUUAACUUACAAAUGUGUGUGUUUUGACUGCUCCAGAAAUUGACUGUUGCUCUCUUUUCCUCUCCUCAGACUUCCUAAUUCCAAAAGACACAAUAAUAUUAAAACCAGGCCAAUUAAGAACCCUACAUCCAUCUCCAAGUGUUCAAGUGUAAGAAAGAGUCAUAAAUCUCUCACUCUAAAUCAUAAACUAGAAAUGACUAAAGCUUAGUGAGGAAGUCAUGCCAAAACUAAGACAGGUCGAAAGCUAUGCCUUUUGUGCCAAAGAACCAAGUUGUAAAUGCAAAAAAAAAAAAAAAAAAAAAGAAAGAAAGAAAAGAAAACAAAUGUGCUACUCUAGUGAACACAGAAAUAAUAAAAUAAAAAUAAGCAGCCUUAUGUUGGUAUGGAGAAACAUUUUAGGUGUCUGGAUAGGAGAUAAAACCAGCCACAGGCCGCGCACGGUGGCUCACGCCUGUAAUCCUAGCACUCUGGGAGGCCGAGGCAGGCGGAUCACGAGGUCAAGAGAUCAAGACCAUCCUGGCCAACAUAGUGAAACCUCGUCUCUACUAAAAUAUAAAAAACUAGCUGGGCGUGGUGGCGUGCGUCUGUAGUCCCAGCUACUUGGGAGGCUGAGGCAGGAGAAUUGCUUGAACCCAGGAGGCGGAAGUUGCAGUGAGCGGAGAUGGCGUCACUGCACUCCAGCCUGGUGCCUGGCGACCGAGCAAGACUCUUUCUCAAAAAAAAGAAAAAAACAAAACAACAACAACAAAAAAACCUGCCACAGCAUUCCCACAAACUGAAGGCUAAUCUGGAGCAAGACCCUAACUCUCUUCAAUUCCGUGAAGUUCCAAAGAGAAAUAUCUGGUCGGGUGCGAUGGCUCAAGCCUGUAAUCCCAGCACUUUGGGAGGCCGAGGUGGGUGGAUCAUGAGGUCAAGAGCUCGAGACCAUCUUGGUCAACAAGGAAUUGGCCUACAUGUUUAUGGAAGUUUGCAGGAAAGUGCUAGCAAAGAGAAAGAAGCAAAGUCUCACUCCAAGGAGAUGCCUUCGAAGUCCACUUUGUUCCCUGGGUUCACCUGUAUUCUCAGGCAAACUGCUACCAUGAAACUCCCCACACAAGAUGUGAAAGCCAAGAGGAAAGAGUUGAAGGUUCUGAAGAAGCUUCCAUGUGGUGAGAGAGUACAUGGAGGGGGCCAUACGAAGGGGGCCAUGUGGCAAGGAACUGUAGCUGCCACUGAGUGCUUCGAGCAAUCCCUGACCAACAGUAAGAACAUAGAACCACAGUGCAACAGUUGCAAAGAGAUGAAUUUUGUUAACAACAUGAAGAUGUUGGAAAUGGAUUAUUCUCUAGUCCAGGCUAUGAUCACCACAGCCCUGGUCAACACCUGAAUUUCAGCCUGGUGAGACCCUGGAGCAGAGAACUCACCUAGGAUAUGCCUGACUUCUGUCUUACAGAAACACAAAAAUAAUAAAUGUGUGCUAUUUUAAGCUGCAAAUUUGUGAUAAUUUACUACAAAGUAUAGAAAACUAAUGCAAUAUCUCUUUUCUUUCUGCAACAUA
rnacentral:lncRNA from 1 species